GGACGAACGCUGGCGGCGUGCUUAACACAUGCAAGUCGAACGAUGAAGCCUAGCUUGCUAGGUGGAUUAGUGGCGAACGGGUGAGUAAUACGUGAGUAACCUACCUUUAACUCUGGGAUAAGCCCGGGAAACUGGGUCUAAUACCGAAUACGACCAAUCUCCGCAUGGGGUGUUGGUGGAAAGCGUUAUGUAGUGGUUAUAGAUGGGCUCACGGCCUAUCAGCUUGUUGGUGAGGUAAUGGCUUACCAAGGCGACGACGGGUAGCCGGCCUGAGAGGGUGACCGGCCACACUGGGACUGAGACACGGCCCAGACUCCUACGGGAGGCAGCAGUGGGGAAUAUUGCACAAUGGGCGCAAGCCUGAUGCAGCGACGCCGCGUGAGGGAUGACGGCCUUCGGGUUGUAAACCUCUGUUAGCAUCGAAGAAGCGAAAGUGACGGUAGGUGCAAAGAAAGCGCCGGCUAACUACGUGC
rnacentral:rRNA from 1 species